UUUUUAUUUUUUAGCAUUGGUAAAUGUACUAGAUUUUAUUACAGAAAUGUGUUGUUGAGUUAUCAUGAUGAUAUCGAAAAGUAUAAAAAAAAAUUGUAGAAAUGCAAACUACAAUAAAUUUAUAAAAAUAAGUUAUAAAAAUAAGUCCAACAAAUCAAAUGAUUGAGGAAAAAUUCGAACGAAAAUUUCAUGAAAAACUGUCUGGUCAUUUUACUUCCCCACAAAUCAGUUUAAUUUUGCGUCCAAAACAAAAAGUGGUCAGAAACAGAUAUUGCAUUAGCUAUUACUCUACGAUGCUAAUCUCCAAAAGCAUAUAGAUAUAUAAGAGAAAAAUUGCAAUACCCUCUACCAGGUAUAUAAAUUAAAUAAAAAAUAUGUAAACUCUAACAAUCAAUAUAAUUUAUAAAGUUAUUUUAAAUUAACCAGUAUAAAAAUAAUUUUUUUUCAGGACUUUCAACUUUACGUAAAUGGGCUGCUAAAUUUGAUUUGAAAUCUGAUAUACUACAUAGUAUUUUACAUAUAAUGAAAUGUAAAGGUGAAUCUAUGUCUGCGGAAGAGAGAAUAACUGUUAUAUCAUUUGAUGAAACAUACUUGUCAAAGAAAAUCUGUUAUGAUAAAUCAUCUCAGAAAAUUAUAGGUCCCCAUCAAUCGGUUCAGACUGUUGUUGCUAGAGGUAUGUAAUACCAUUACAGAUUUACAGCCACAACUUCUUAUGUUUGAACUUUCUUAACGUUUCAGGUGUAAUUGGUCAAUGGAAGCAACCAGUAUUUUAUGCAAAUGAUACGCACAUGACUAAAGAAUUGCUAUUUGAAAUAAUAAUGACCUUAACUACAUGUCAGUUUGAUGUUUGUUGCUGUUGUUAGUGAAAUGGGUACUUCUAAUCAAGGACUUUGGAAA